GCAGAGCCUCCCCAGCACCACUUGGCUCCUGGCGGCCCUGCCUCCGGGUGCCGGGGUGGCCGAGGCCCAGGCCGCGCCAGCCGCGACCGGGGGACCGAUGGAUGAGGGUGGCCAGAGAGCAGGACGGCUGAGGGCCCGUCGGACCUGGGGCUGCCACCGGGCUGGGGGGGGCCGGCCUCCUGGCCGGCGGGCCCUGCCCUCCCCCCACCACCGCCACUGUGCCCAGCCGUCCCAGGGGGCACCGCUUCCACUCCCUUGCUUUUGAGGAAGCUCCCCAGCCUCCUGCACCUUGGGACCCGACUCCUCCCAUCCCCCCCCCGCGGAACUGGGACCCAUCGUGGCCUUUGGGACACACUCCACGACCACGUGGCCCAGGACUCACCCCUGCGUCCUGCAACCUUGCUCUGCGGGUGACUCUGUAGCUCACGUGACUGUCCGUGCACCACCCUCAGUCUGCCCAGACUUGGGCUUCCGGGGAGAGGUCUGGACGCAGGAGGCCCCCUCCGUCUCUGGUCCCUUCCCUGCGCUGAGCCCCUGGUGCCUCGCCCAUGCCCAGCGCGGACAGGACCUCUGCUCGGCACCCCGUGGUGGCCUGUCCUCUGCGGGGACUUGGCCCUGCCCUCCGCAGCACCCUGGGUUCCUGUGGACAGACGGGCCGCCCUGUUUCUCAGAAGUUGGCACAGACGGGGGUUCACAGAAACGUGAGGCCUGGGAUGACGGACCCGACACCCCGUGGCAGAGCCCCACUGAGGCAGGCACCCAGGGCCUGCUCCCAAGACUGACCCGAGUCUGACGCCCACAGCCAGGGUGAAGCAGGAACUCCUGACGCUAAACUUCCAGCCAGCCUUGAUUUACCCAGAUAGACGCGAAGGCCUUAAAGAUAGCUUGCGUUUGGUCUUUUGGUCCCAGUGAAAAUACAA